CUAAGUUUGAUGGCGACCGGCGCACGGGUGAGUAACACGUAUCCAACCUGCCGAUGACUCGGGGAUAGCCUUUCGAAAGAAAGAUUAAUACCCGAUGGCAUAGUUCUUCCGCAUGGUAGAACUAUUAAAGAAUUUCGGUCAUCGAUGGGGAUGCGUUCCAUUAGGUUGUUGGCGGGGUAACGGCCCACCAAGCCUUCGAUGGAUAGGGGUUCUGAGAGGAAGGUCCCCCACAUUGGAACUGAAACACGGUCCAA
rnacentral:rRNA from 1 species